CCUACGGGUGGCAGCAGUGAGGAAUAUUGGUCAAUGGGCGAGAGCCUGAACCAGCCAAAUCGCGUGCAGGAUGAAGGAUCUAUGGUUUGUAAACUUCUUUUAUAUGGGAAUACAGUGAGGAACGUGUUCCUUUUUGUAUGUACCAUAUGAAUAAGCAUCGGCUAACUCCGUGCCAGCAGCCGCGGUAAUACGAAGGAUGCGAGCGUUGUCCGGAUUGGUUGGGUUUAAAGGGUGCGUAGGUGGUUAAUUUAGUCAGCGGUGAAAGUUUGUGGCUCAACAAUAAGAUUGCCGUGGAAACUGGUUAACUUGAGUAUAUGUGAGGUAGGCGGAAUGCGAGGUGAAGCGGUGAAAUGCAUAGAUAUAACGAAGAACUCCGAUGGCGAAGGCAGCUUACUAAACUAUAACUGACACUGAAGGACGAAAGCGUGGGGAUCAAACAGGAUUAGAUACCCGAGUAGUC
rnacentral:rRNA from 1 species